rnacentral:tRNA from 1 species
AAGGACUUAGGUUAAUUCAAACCUUCAGCCUUCAAAGUUGAUAUUAAAGUUUUCUUUAGGCCUUA